AUGUCGAGCAGAUAAAACAGGUGUUGUUCAUAUUCUUUUUGGGAAAAUGGACUUUGAAAAAGAAGCA
rnacentral:tRNA from 1 species